rnacentral:rRNA from 1 species
CUCGUCGCACCUACCGAUUUAAUUAUUUAGUCAGGUGUCCGGACGUGAUCACUGUAAAGCAUUUUAUGUGUUGCGGAUGCUUCGCAAAAGUUGACCGAACUUGUUUAUUUAGAGGAAGUAAAAGUUGUAA